rnacentral:lncRNA from 1 species
AUGGUUUGGCACCAUUAUACAGUAAGUAGAGAUAGAAACAGUUCGUAUCCCACAAGGUUUGAGCUGUUCACUGUUUUCAUGAAGCCAAAAAAAAUUAACAGCAUGUUGAGAUUUUGCCAAAGAGAGAAACGGGUAUCUUAUACCAGAAAAACAGGUAUCUUAUACAAGAGACACAGGUAUCUUAUACAAGAGACACAGGUAUCUUAUACAAGAGACACAGGUAUCUUAUACAAGAGACACAGGUAUCUUAUACAAGAGACACAGGUAUCUUAUACAAGAGACACAGGUAUCUUAUACAAGAUAGGUAUCUUAUACAAGAGACACAGGUAUCUUAUACUAGAGACACAGGUAUCUUAUACAAGAGACACAGGUAUCUUAUACCAGAUAAACGGGUAGCUUAUAUCAGAGUUGUGGCCAUUCCCAUUUCAAUUCAGUCAAUUCUGAAAGUAAACUAAAAUUCUAAUUCCAAAAUGUUCUCAUAGAGAAACAUUGAGCAAAAAUGUUUAACUUCCUAAUCGACUGAAUAGAAAAGGAAUUGACCCCAACCCUGUUUCAUAAGCAGUUUUGUCCUGAACAUCAUAAUAACCCAUGAGACACAUGAUGAGACAAAUAAGAGCUCUUAUGGGAGCAUCAGUUAAAACACUUACUGUAAGCUUUUGCCCUGCAUGAAUAAAAUAUACAGACAACAGUUAAUGUCUCAGUCGAUUUGAAGAGACACAAAAACAAUAUGUACCUAGCUUCACUUAAUGCCCUCAGCAGUAGCAGUGAGCCAAGGAGGAAUUGACUUGAGGGUCUCUCCUUAAGAAGGUAAUAUGAAUGUGUUUCAAAUGUGUACUUUACUGUAUGCACAUCAUAUGAUGUUUCUGUUGUGCUGUUGGAUAAACAAACCAGUUGAAUUAGAUUAGACCUUUAAGCUGCGAUUCCCAGCAUGUCAUGGAGUCACUCAAAAUAAAUUAACUAAGUAAUCAAGAGAUAAAAUAGAUAAAUAGAUAAAAUAUCCCUGUCCCUGGUUUGAUUCACAAGUCAAGUGUGCCUUUUGAAUGAGGGAUGGAGGGGUGUGUGUGUGUAGAAUAUGUGUAGUGGUGUCUUUUUGUCUCUUCUGUGUCUGUGUUUACUUGAUAUAACCAGCAGUGGGCUGACUGCUUCAGUCUCACACUGGGGGGAAAUUGUAUUGUUAACUUGAUCAUCUCUUACCUGGCGAUAAGGUGGUAGUGCAAUCCUAUGUUUUUUGAAGGAGGUAAACCUUAAGCAUAGCUGUAUUCUUUUAUAUGCUUUGAGUCGCUUUGUAGCUUCCUGCUACUUAUCUGCCUCGUGGCAUCAUUGUACUGUCCUCUUUACACAACAAAAUAAAUGUUUGCGAUGUGUAUUUGAGUAUGUCAUACUUUCACAUUGGAUUGGAAAGGUCCAUUGGUACCCACAAAUGAUUAUGUAUGAUUAGCCUAUUUAAA